rnacentral:tRNA from 1 species
GAAGGCAUAGCUCAGUAGUAGAGCACAUGCUUAGCGUGCACAAGGUCCUGGGUUCAAUCCCUAGCACCUCCA